CCAGCAAUUGGAUUUCAUCAAUAUUAUAUAACGUUGAUUAAAAUUUCCUUUUCUCUCGAGCAACCAUGUAUAUUCCAAGCGUGAUGAAGGGAUUAGAUCAUCGUAUCGUAUUAUGCUUAUGCUUACUUCCAACCCCAAAGGCAGACUUUCUAUGUGCUUGUCUCUUUGCUUCGAGGACCAGCGAACUCUUCACUCUAUAUGACAGAAACAGCCUAGAAUCCAGGGGGAAAUUUGAAAGUCAAUCAAGGAAGGAACUGCAAGAUGGACAGAGCAAGGUCUCGUAGAAAUGUAAAGUCAUCUACAGGCGGAAAUCUGUUCAAGACAGUCGCGAACUUUAUAAUAUAAUGGAAUCGUUUUACCAAUAUGCGGACAAACAACACAGUUUUCGUCUAUGAAUACGAAAUAAAAAAUUUAAAUAAAAAUUAUAUUAAUCCUUUCGAUACGAGUUGUUUUUAACAUCGAUGAUAAAGAAAAUAAUCACAGACUUCGCUGGAUGCAUAAGCAUUCAUAGACAACAUCAAUGGAAUUUUUUCUGAUGAAUAUGUACUUCUCCUGUAGGAAAGUAUGAGAUGACUCGUUUGUUUGUAAGAAAUGUUCAAGAGCAGUUAUGAAAUCAUUUACGGAUUUCACUACGUUUUACAUAUUCGAAACUUUCCAUCUUUGCAUUUCUUUUCUGUCUCCCCUUUCUCAUGAAUACUUGAAUACAUGAUUUUUUCAAAUGUAAUAAAAAAAAAAAAAAAAAAAAAAAAAUGCUAAUUCGUAUAUUACAAAACUUCACAAAAAUAAUCGUAAGAAUCUGUUCUAUUUUUCCUCGUAUAUUUCCUUGUUUGGAAAAAGGAAUAAUUUAUGACUUGUAAUUUGUAAAAUUACGCUAAUAAUAUCAGUUUACUUGUACAAGAUGGCCACCAUACACAUAUUUGUCACAUUAGAAAAUAUAGACCUAACCAAACAGGAAUAUUACACAUUACAAGUUAACGUA